CGGCGGACGGGUGAGUAACGCGUGGGUAACCUGCCUCAUACAGGGGGGUAACAGUUAGAAAUGACUGCUAAUACCGCAUAAGACCACGGUACCGCAUGGUACAGUGGUAAAAACUCCGGUGGUAUGAGAUGGACCCGCGUCUGAUUAGGUAGUUGGUGGGGUAACGGCCUACCAAGCCGACGAUCAGUAGCCGACCCGAGAGGGUGACCGGCCACAUUGGGACUGAGACACGGCCCAG
rnacentral:rRNA from 1 species